rnacentral:rRNA from 1 species
GAUGAACGCUGGCGGCGUGCCUAAUACAUGCAAGUCGAACGAAACUUCUUUAUCACCGAGUGCUUGCACUCACCGAUAAAGAGUUGAGUGGCGAACGGGUGAGUAACACGUGGGCAACCUGCCCAAAAGAGGGGGAUAACACUUGGAAACAGGUGCUAAUACCGCAUAACCAUAGUUACCGCAUGGUAACUAUGUAAAAGGUGGCUAUACUACCGCUUUUGGAUGGGCCCGCGGCGCAUUAGCUAGUUGGUAGGGUAAAGGCUUACCAAGGCAAUGAUGCGUAGCCGAAUUGAGAGGUUGAUCGGCCACAUUGGGACUGAGACACGGCCCAAACUCCUACGGGAGGCAGCAGUAGGGAAUCUUCCACAAUGGGCGAAAGCCUGAUGGAGCAACGCCGCGUGGGUGAAGAAGGUCUUCGGAUCGUAAAACCCUGUUGUUAGAGAAGAGAGUGCGUGAGAGUAACUGUUCACGUUUCGACGGUAUCUAACCAGAAAGCCACGGCUAACUACGUG